rnacentral:rRNA from 1 species
CAGCCGCCGCGGGAAUACGUAGGUGGCAAGCGUUGUCCGGAAUUAUUGGGCGUAAAGGGCUCGCAGGUGGUUUCUUAAGUCUGAUGUGAAAGCCCCCGGCUCAACCGGGGAGGGUCAUUGGAAACUGGGAAACUUGAGUGCAGAAGAGGAGAGUGGAAUUCCACGUGUAGCGGUGAAAUGCGUAGAGAUGUGGAGGAACACCAGUGGCGAAGGCGACUCUCUUGUCUGUAACUGACGCUGAGGAGCGAAAGCGUGGGGAGCGAACAGGAUUAGAUACCCGCGUAGUCCCUGUCUCUUAUAC